AGAUUAAGAGAAAAAGCUAGAUAUUUCUGAGUUGUGUCUGACCUGAGAAGUCCAUCAUCAAACUGUGUGGAGACGUUCUCUGAGCUUCCUCUCUUAUGUCUCUAAUGGACAAACACAAAGUGAAGCGGCAGCGUCUGGACCGUAUAUUUGAAGUAGAAAAAAUUGAACACGAUCCAGGCUACAGAGGUUGCAGUGGAUAAGAAGUUUAAAAGCUUUGGUUCAAGAUCGCAGGAGGCUGCGAGAAAAGUUAAAGACAUGGAAAUGAGGAUCCAGUGACAGGCUGCUAUUUUGCCUCAGAAUACAGAAGAUUGUAAAGCAUUGAGAAAUCGAAUUCAUGACCCUGGAAAUCAAGCUCAGAUUAAGAAAUGUCAGGCAUUCGACCCCCGAUCAUGAACGGGCCCAUGCACCCGCGCCCUUUGGUAGCAUUGCUGGAUGGCAGGGAUUGUACAG